rnacentral:lncRNA from 1 species
UUUUCUAGUAGGAUAUUAUCCUUUAUUUAUAGGCAAUUCCUCCACAUCCUCCACCCCAUAAAAUGUAACCGCCUUAUUAAAAUUAAUUAUAUAUUAAAUAUAGUUAAUACACAUAAAUAUAUAUAUUCGUAACUUACAAAUAUAUUAGAUAAUGUAUUUAAUAUCUUUAGGCGUUGUUUGGCAAAAGAGCCAAACCCAACGUUUAACCGCAGAAUUCCGCCAUCUCGACUUAGAGCAAGAUUUCCCCAAAAUUUGAAGCAAUGACCGGAAGAAUUUCACCAUUAUUCAGUACCGUCAUGUAUACAUACACACACACAUCGUUGAACAAAAGCACACGACAAACGCACACAGGGUGAGAUAUAACAUAAUCAUGAGUUUAGAUCAUCAUUAGAAACGAAUUGACCCUUGCAUGUAAGAAAGAGAUGAACUCGAGAGGGAAGGGAGAAAAUAGUAUCGAGUGACAUGAAAUAGAGGCGGUGGACUGAGACUCGAUGGGGUGUCGACCACAAAUGUCACUAUUCAGCAGCAAAA